rnacentral:rRNA from 1 species
UAUGGCCAUGCCACCCUGAACGUGCCUGAUCUUGGAAGCUAAGCAGGGUCAGGCCUGGUUAGUACUUGGAUGGGAGAACUCAGUUCAACCCUAA